GGACAGGUGGCUGAGCGGAUGAAGGCGCUCGACUCGAAAUCGAGAAUGGGGACAAAACCCCAUCGCGGGUUCGAAUCCCGCCCUGUCCG
rnacentral:tRNA from 5 species